UACGUAGGGGGCAAGCGUUGUCCGGAAUCAUUGGGCGUAAAGAGCGUGUAGGCGGCUCGAUAAGUCUGCUGUGAAAGUCCAGGGCUCAACCCUGGAAGGCCGGUGGAAACUGUCGGGCUAGAAUCCGGAAGAGGCGAGUGGAAUUCCCGGUGUAGCGGUGAAAUGCGCAGAUAUCGGGAGGAACACCAAUGGCGAAGGCAGCUCGCUGGGACGGUAUUGACGCUGAGACGCGAAAGCGUGGGGAGCAAACAGG
rnacentral:rRNA from 2 species